AAACUUUCCUGCUGAGACCAGAGCAUAUGUCAUGAAUUUGCUCUGGCUUUAGUAUCCUUCAUUUCCUAAUCUCCUUGGAGCACCAGCAAAUGAGACUUAAAUUUAAAUCUAAUAAGCUAAACAGGUAUUUCCAUCUUAAAUUCCUAGGGCCAGCUUCAUGAAAUUGUAGAGGAGAGGUUCCUUGCAUAUCAUUUGAUCUUCUCUCAGCAGAGUUGGCCGGUCAUGCCAUCCUGAGUUUCAGGAAAGAACCACGUGAAGAAGAAGGAUGAUGAAGAGCCAAGGAGCCUAUCAGGAAGGCAAUGAAGAGACUGGCAAAGGCAAGAAGGUACUAUCACU
rnacentral:lncRNA from 1 species